GAUGACUAUACGUCGAACAGCUUUUCUGCCUCGCUAGGCCCGGCGGCCAUUCAUCGUUUCUCGUGGCAGCUGGGUUUGCGACGGAUCGCCAUGGAUGGGGUGGAGUUUUUCUUCGAGGAAGCCGAAUUAGGAUUGGUUCCCAGGGUGGAUGCCAGUGAUCUUUUAGGGGGAGAUAUCGCUGCUGUGGAAUCGGUCGUUGCUUCAACCCAAGCAAGAUUUUCAAGAUUGAUUUUCAGUACUGCCGAUGCUCGAAAUUCAGUUUGCUAGCUUAAUAAUCAGCUGUUUGUCAAAUGGAAGAUUUUCCGAACUGCUUGUGCCUGCGUAGUUGUGAGCUUGUUUCUAUGUUUGUGUUCGCUCGUUCAUCACUUGUUUAAAAAAAUCGUGUAAUGCACUGACUUUGUCAUGGUGCUCUGUUCAAGAGUGUGAGUUAACUGUAUCAGCGAUUGGAAUUC